rnacentral:rRNA from 1 species
ACGGCCUAAAGCGUGAUUAAAUUAUAUUAAAAUAAAUAGAAAUAAAAAUUAACUCAACUGUCAUACGUAUACGUUAAACGGUAAAUCAUAAACGAAAGAUAUUCUAAUAAAUAAAUUACUUGAACCCACGAAAGCUAAGAAACAAACUAGGAUUAGAUACCCUACUAUGCUUAGCCUUAAACUUUGGAACAACCCGCCUGAGUACUACGAGCCACAGCUUAAAACUCAAAGGACUUGGCGGUGCUCUACACCCCCCUAGAGGAGCCUGUUCUAUAAUUGAUACCCCCCGCUAAACCUCACCACUUAUUGCCAAUACCGCUUAUAUACCGCCGUCGUCAGCUCACCAUUUAAAUGAAAAAUAGUAGGCAUAAUGAUAAACAUAAAAACGUCAGGUCAAGGUGUAGCGAAUUAAGUGGAAAGAAAUGGGCUACAUUUUCUAAACUAGAAAAUACGAAAAAUUUUAUGAAAAACUAUUUAAAGGUGGAUUUAGCAGUAAAAAGAAAAUAGAGUGUUCUUUUUAAAUAGGCCAUAGAGCGCGCACACACCGCCCGUCACCCUCCUCAGAAAAACAACUAACUAAAUAAGAAAAGAAAAAGAAAAAGAAGAGGUAAGUCGUAACAUGGUAAGUUUACCGGAAGGUGUACUUGGAUUAU